UACAGAGGGUGCGAGCGUUAAUCGGAAUUACUGGGCGUAAAGCGUGCGUAGCCGGUUAUGUAAGUCAGGUGUGAAAGCCCUGGGCUCAACCUGGGAACUGCGAUGGAUACUGAGGAGCUGGAGUACGGUAGAGGAAGGUGGAAUUCCCGGUGUGGCGGUGAAAUGCGUAGAGAUCGGGAGGAACAUCAGUGGCGAAGGCGGCCUUCUGGACCAGUACUGACGCUGAGGCACGAAAGCGUGGGGAGCAAACAGG
rnacentral:rRNA from 1 species